GACGAACGCUGGCGGCGUGCCUAAUACAUGCGAGUUGAGCGAUGAAGCUUGGUGCUUGCCCCAAUUUGAAGAGCAGCGAACGGGUGAGUAACGCGUGGGGAAUCUGCCUUUGAGCGGGGGACAACAUUUGGAAACGAAUGCUAAUACCGCAUAACAACUUUAAACAUAAGUUUUAAGUUUGAAAGAUGCAAUUGCAUCACUCAAAGAUGAUCCCGCGUUGUAUUAGCUAGUUGGUGAGGUAAAGGCUCACCAAGGCGAUGAUACAUAGCCGACCUGAGAGGGUGAUCGGCCACAUUGGGACUGAGACACGGCCCAAACUCCUACGGGAGGCAGCAGUAGGGAAUCUUCGGCAAGGGACGAAAGUCUGACCGAGCAACGCCGCGUGAGUGAAGAAGGUUUUCGGAUCGUAAAACUCUGUUGGUAGAGAAGAACGUUGGUGAGAGUGGAAAGCUCACCAAGUGACGGUAACUACCCAGAAAGGGACGGCUAACUACGUG
rnacentral:rRNA from 1 species